ensembl:lncRNA
UCCGGGGAAUUUGGAGGCCGAGUCAACACCUUGAACUCUGUCAUGUUCUUCAAACCCUUCCUGAACCAAUUGUUGCAGGCCGCAUUAUUCCGCUGAAAGAGGCCACUGCUGUUAGGGAAUACUGUUGCCAUGAAGAGGUGUACUUGUUCUGCAACAAUGUCUAGUAGCUCUUCUGAGGGAUCGGAACAGACGGGCUAGCCUUCUCUUCCCAUGCACAUCAGGGAGCCCUGGACACCCCUGACCCAGUCGACAGUUCACUGGUUGUCCUUCCUUGGAUCACUUUUGGUAAGUAUUAACCACUGCAUACCAGGAACCCCCCACAAGACCUGCUGUUUUGGAGAUGCUCUGACCCAGUGGUCUAACCAUCACAAUUUGGCUCUUAUAAAAGUCGUUCAGAUCUUUACGCUUGCCCAUU